rnacentral:rRNA from 1 species
GCGGCCUAUCAGCUUGUUGGUGAGGUAAUGGCUCACCAAGGCAACGACGGGUAGCCGGCCUGAGAGGGCGACCGGCCACACUGGGACUGAGACACGGCCCAGACUCCUACGGGAGGCAGCAGUGGGGAAUAUUGGGCAAUGGAGGAAACUCUGACCCAGCGACGCCGCGUGCGGGAUGAAGGCCUUCGGGUUGUAAACCGCUUUCAGUAGGGAAGAAGCGAAAGUGACGGUACCUACAGAAGAAGCACCGGCUAACUAUGUGCCGGCAGCCGCGGUAAUACAUAGGGUGCAAGCGUUGUCCGGAAUUAUUGGGCGUAAAGAGCUCGUAGGUGGUUCGUUACGUCGGAUGUGAAAAUCUGGGGCUCAACCCCAGACCUGCAUCCGAUACGGUCGAGCUAGAGUUUGGUAGGGGAGACUGGAAUUCCU